rnacentral:rRNA from 1 species
AUUGAACGCUGGCGGCAGGCCUAACACAUGCAAGUCGAGCGGAUGAAGGGAGCUUGCUCCUGGAUUCAGCGGCGGACGGGUGAGUAAUGCCUAGGAAUCUGCCUGGGAGUGGGGGAUAACGUCCGGAAACGGGCGCUAAUACCGCAUACGUCCUGAGGGAGAAAGUGGGGGAUCUUCGGACCUCACGCUAUCAGAUGAGCCUAGGUCGGAUUAGCUAGUUGGUGGGGUAAAGGCCUACCAAGGCGACGAUCCGUAACUGGUCUGAGAGGAUGAUCAGUCACACUGGAACUGAGACACGGUCCAGACUCCUACGGGAGGCAGCAGUGGGGAAUAUUGGACAAUGGGCGAAAGCCUGAUCCAGGCAUGCCGCGUGUGUGAAGAAGGUCUUCGGAUUGUAAAGCACUUUAAGUUGGGAGGAAGGGCAGUAAGUUAAUACCUUGCUGUUUUGACGUUACCAACAGAAUAAGCACCGGCUAACUUCGUG